rnacentral:rRNA from 1 species
GGGUUGUGAGGUUAAGCGACUAAGCGUACACGGUGGAUGCCCUGGCAGUCAGAGGCGAUGAAGGACGUGCUAAUCUGCGAUAAGCGUCGGUAAGGUGAUAUGAACCGUUAUAACCGGCGAUUUCCGAAUGGGGAAACCCAGUGUGUUUCGACACACUAUCAUUAACUGAAUCCAUAGGUUAAUGAGGCGAACCGGGGGAACUGAAACAUCUAAGUACCCCGAGGAAAAGAAAUCAACCGAGAUUCCCCCAGUAGCGGCGAGCGAACGGGGAGCAGCCCAGAGCCUGAAUCAGUAUGUGUGUUAGUGGAAGCGUCUGGAAAGGCGCGCGAUACAGGGUGACAGCCCCGUACACAAAAAUGCACAUAUUGUGAGCUCGAUGAGUAGGGCGGGACACGUGGUAUCCUGUCUGAAUAUGGGGGGACCAUCCUCCAAGGCUAAAUACUCCUGACUGACCGAUAGUGAACCAGUACCGUGAGGGAAAGGCGAAAAGAACCCCGGCGAGGGGAGUGAAAAAGAACCUGAAACCGUGUACGUACAAGCAGUGGGAGCACGCUUAGGCGUGUGACUGCGUACCUUUUGUAUAAUGGGUCAGCGACUUAUAUUCUGUAGCAAGGUUAACCGAAUAGGGGAGCCGAAGGGAAACCGAGUCUUAACUGGGCGUUAAGUUGCAGGGUAUAGACCCGAAACCCGGUGAUCUAGCCAUGGGCAGGUUGAAGGUUGGGUAACACUAACUGGAGGACCGAACCGACUAAUGUUGAAAAAUUAGCGGAUGACUUGUGGCUGGGGGUGAAAGGCCAAUCAAACCGGGAGAUAGCUGGUUCUCCCCGAAAGCUAUUUAGGUAGCGCCUCGUGAAUUCAUCUCCGGGGGUAGAGCACUGUUUCGGCAAGGGGGUCAUCCCGACUUACCAACCCGAUGCAAACUGCGAAUACCGGAGAAUGUUAUCACGGGAGACACACGGCGGGUGCUAACGUCCGUCGUGAAGAGGGAAACAACCCAGACCGCCAGCUAAGGUCCCAAAGUCAUGGUUAAGUGGGAAACGAUGUGGGAAGGCCCAGACAGCCAGGAUGUUGGCUUAGAAGCAGCCAUCAUUUAAAGAAAGCGUAAUAGCUCACUGGUCGAGUCGGCCUGCGCGGAAGAUGUAACGGGGCUAAACCAUGCACCGAAGCUGCGGCAGCGACGCUUAUGCGUUGUUGGGUAGGGGAGCGUUCUGUAAGCCUGUGAAGGUGUACUGUGAGGUAUGCUGGAGGUAUCAGAAGUGCGAAUGCUGACAUAAGUAACGAUAAAGCGGGUGAAAAGCCCGCUCGCCGGAAGACCAAGGGUUCCUGUCCAACGUUAAUCGGGGCAGGGUGAGUCGACCCCUAAGGCGAGGCCGAAAGGCGUAGUCGAUGGGAAACAGGUUAAUAUUCCUGUACUUGGUGUUACUGCGAAGGGGGGACGGAGAAGGCUAUGUUGGCCGGGCGACGGUUGUCCCGGUUUAAGCGUGUAGGCUGGUUUUCCAGGCAAAUCCGGAAAAUCAAGGCUGAGGCGUGAUGACGAGGCACUACGGUGCUGAAGCAACAAAUGCCCUGCUUCCAGGAAAAGCCUCUAAGCAUCAGGUAACAUCAAAUCGUACCCCAAACCGACACAGGUGGUCAGGUAGAGAAUACCAAGGCGCUUGAGAGAACUCGGGUGAAGGAACUAGGCAAAAUGGUGCCGUAACUUCGGGAGAAGGCACGCUGAUAUGUAGGUGAAGCGACUUGCUCGUGGAGCUGAAAUCAGUCGAAGAUACCAGCUGGCUGCAACUGUUUAUUAAAAACACAGCACUGUGCAAACACGAAAGUGGACGUAUACGGUGUGACGCCUGCCCGGUGCCGGAAGGUUAAUUGAUGGGGUUAGCGCAAGCGAAGCUCUUGAUCGAAGCCCCGGUAAACGGCGGCCGUAACUAUAACGGUCCUAAGGUAGCGAAAUUCCUUGUCGGGUAAGUUCCGACCUGCACGAAUGGCGUAAUGAUGGCCAGGCUGUCUCCACCCGAGACUCAGUGAAAUUGAACUCGCUGUGAAGAUGCAGUGUACCCGCGGCAAGACGGAAAGACCCCGUGAACCUUUACUAUAGCUUGACACUGAACAUUGAGCCUUGAUGUGUAGGAUAGGUGGGAGGCUUUGAAGUGUGGACGCCAGUCUGCAUGGAGCCGACCUUGAAAUACCACCCUUUAAUGUUUGAUGUUCUAACGUUGACCCGUAAUCCGGGUUGCGGACAGUGUCUGGUGGGUAGUUUGACUGGGGCGGUCUCCUCCUAAAGAGUAACGGAGGAGCACGAAGGUUGGCUAAUCCUGGUCGGACAUCAGGAGGUUAGUGCAAUGGCAUAAGCCAGCUUGACUGCGAGCGUGACGGCGCGAGCAGGUGCGAAAGCAGGUCAUAGUGAUCCGGUGGUUCUGAAUGGAAGGGCCAUCGCUCAACGGAUAAAAGGUACUCCGGGGAUAACAGGCUGAUACCGCCCAAGAGUUCAUAUCGACGGCGGUGUUUGGCACCUCGAUGUCGGCUCAUCACAUCCUGGGGCUGAAGUAGGUCCCAAGGGUAUGGCUGUUCGCCAUUUAAAGUGGUACGCGAGCUGGGUUUAGAACGUCGUGAGACAGUUCGGUCCCUAUCUGCCGUGGGCGCUGGAGAACUGAGGGGGGCUGCUCCUAGUACGAGAGGACCGGAGUGGACGCAUCACUGGUGUUCGGGUUGUCAUGCCAAUGGCACUGCCCGGUAGCUAAAUGCGGAAGAGAUAAGUGCUGAAAGCAUCUAAGCACGAAACUUGCCCCGAGAUGAGUUCUCCCUGACUCCUUGAGAGUCCUGAAGGAACGUUGAAGACGACGACGUUGAUAGGCCGGGUGUGUAAGCGCAGCGAUGCGUUGAGCUAACCGGUACUAAUGAACCGUGAGGCUUAACCUUACAACGCCGAAG